rnacentral:rRNA from 1 species
UUAAGCGACUAAGCGUACACGGUGGAUGCCCUGGCAGUCAGAGGCGAUGAAGGGCGUGCUAAUCUGCGAUAAGCGCCGGUAAGGUGAUAUGAACCGUUAUAACCGGCGAUACCCGAAUGGGGAAACCCAGUGUGAUUCGUCACACUAUCAUUAACUGAAUCCAUAGGUUAAUGAGGCGAACCGGGGGAACUGAAACAUCUAAGUACCCCGAGGAAAAGAAAUCAACCGAGAUUCCCCCAGUAGCGGCGAGCGAACGGGGAGGAGCCCAGAGCCUGAAUCAGCAUGUGUGUUAGUGGAAGCGUCUGGAAAGGCGCGCGAUACAGGGUGACAGCCCCGUACACAAAAGCGCAUGUGCUGUGAGCUCGAUGAGUAGGGCGGGACACGUGGUAUCCUGUCUGAAUAUGGGGGGACCAUCCUCCAAGGCUAAAUACUCCUGACUGACCGAUAGUGAACCAGUACCGUGAGGGAAAGGCGAAAAGAACCCCGGCGAGGGGAGUGAAAAAGAACCUGAAACCGUGUACGUACAAGCAGUGGGAGCACAGGUUUACCUGUGUGACUGCGUACCUUUUGUAUAAUGGGUCAGCGACUUAUAUUCUGUAGCAAGGUUAACCGAAUAGGGGAGCCGGAGGGAAACCGAGUCUUAACCGGGCGUUAAGUUGCAGGGUAUAGACCCGAAACCCGGUGAUCUAGCCAUGGGCAGGUUGAAGGUUGGGUAACACUAACUGGAGGACCGAACCGACUAAUGUUGAAAAAUUAGCGGAUGACCUGUGGCUGGGGGUGAAAGGCCAAUCAAACCGGGAGAUAGCUGGUUCUCCCCGAAAGCUAUUUAGGUAGCGCCUCGUGAAUUCAUCUCCGGGGGUAGAGCACUGUUUCGGCUAGGGGGCCAUCCCGGCUUACCAACCCGAUGCAAACUGCGAAUACCGGAGAAUGUUAUCACGGGAGACACACGGCGGGUGCUAACGUCCGUCGUGAAGAGGGAAACAACCCAGACCGCCAGCUAAGGUCCCAAAGUCAUGGUUAAGUGGGAAACGAUGUGGGAAGGCCCAGACAGCCAGGAUGUUGGCUUAGAAGCAGCCAUCAUUUAAAGAAAGCGUAAUAGCUCACUGGUCGAGUCGGCCUGCGCGGAAGAUGUAACGGGGCUAAACCAUGCACCGAAGCUGCGGCAGCGACGCUUAUGCGUUGUUGGGUAGGGGAGCGUUCUGUAAGCCUGUGAAGGUGUGUCGUGAGGCAUGCUGGAGGUAUCAGAAGUGCGAAUGCUGACAUAAGUAACGAUAAAGCGGGUGAAAAGCCCGCUCGCCGGAAGACCAAGGGUUCCUGUCCAACGUUAAUCGGGGCAGGGUGAGUCGACCCCUAAGGCGAGGCCGAAAGGCGUAGUCGAUGGGAAACGGGUUAAUAUUCCCGUACUUGGUGUUACUGCGAAGGGGGGACGGAGAAGGCUAUGUUGGCCGGGCGACGGUUGUCCCGGUUUAAGCGUGUAGGUGUGUGUUCCAGGUAAAUCCGGUUCACUUUAACACUGAGGCGUGAUGACGAGGCACUACGGUGCUGAAGUAACAAAUGCCCUGCUUCCAGGAAAAGCCUCUAAGCAUCAGGUAACAUCAAAUCGUACCCCAAACCGACACAGGUGGUCAGGUAGAGAAUACCAAGGCGCUUGAGAGAACUCGGGUGAAGGAACUAGGCAAAAUGGUGCCGUAACUUCGGGAGAAGGCACGCUGACACGUAGGUGAAGUGAUUUACUCAUGGAGCUGAAGUCAGUCGAAGAUACCAGCUGGCUGCAACUGUUUAUUAAAAACACAGCACUGUGCAAACACGAAAGUGGACGUAUACGGUGUGACGCCUGCCCGGUGCCGGAAGGUUAAUUGAUGGGGUCAGCGCAAGCGAAGCUCCUGAUCGAAGCCCCGGUAAACGGCGGCCGUAACUAUAACGGUCCUAAGGUAGCGAAAUUCCUUGUCGGGUAAGUUCCGACCUGCACGAAUGGCGUAAUGAUGGCCAGGCUGUCUCCACCCGAGACUCAGUGAAAUUGAACUCGCUGUGAAGAUGCAGUGUACCCGCGGCAAGACGGAAAGACCCCGUGAACCUUUACUAUAGCUUGACACUGAACAUUGAGCCUUGAUGUGUAGGAUAGGUGGGAGGCUUUGAAGUGUGGACGCCAGUCUGCGUGGAGCCGACCUUGAAAUACCACCCUUUAAUGUUUGAUGUUCUAACGUGGACCCGUGAUCCGGGUUGCGGACAGUGUCUGGUGGGUAGUUUGACUGGGGCGGUCUCCUCCUAAAGAGUAACGGAGGAGCACGAAGGUUGGCUAAUCCUGGUCGGACAUCAGGAGGUUAGUGCAAUGGCAUAAGCCAGCUUGACUGCGAGCGUGACGGCGCGAGCAGGUGCGAAAGCAGGUCAUAGUGAUCCGGUGGUUCUGAAUGGAAGGGCCAUCGCUCAACGGAUAAAAGGUACUCCGGGGAUAACAGGCUGAUACCGCCCAAGAGUUCAUAUCGACGGCGGUGUUUGGCACCUCGAUGUCGGCUCAUCACAUCCUGGGGCUGAAGUAGGUCCCAAGGGUAUGGCUGUUCGCCAUUUAAAGUGGUACGCGAGCUGGGUUUAGAACGUCGUGAGACAGUUCGGUCCCUAUCUGCCGUGGGCGCUGGAGAACUGAGGGGGGCUGCUCCUAGUACGAGAGGACCGGAGUGGACGCAUCACUGGUGUUCGGGUUGUCAUGCCAAUGGCACUGCCCGGUAGCUAAAUGCGGAAGAGAUAAGUGCUGAAAGCAUCUAAGCACGAAACUUGCCCCGAGAUGAGUUCUCCCUGAGACUUAGAGUCUCCUGAAGGAACGUUGAAGACGACGACGUUGAUAGGCCGGGUGUGUAAGCGCAGCGAUGCGUUGAGCUAACCGGUACUAAUGAACCGUGAGGCUUAACCUU